UACGUAGGUGGCAAGCGUUAUCCGGAUUUACUGGGUGUAAAGGGCGUGUAGGCGGGGUCGCAAGUCAGAUGUGAAAUUCCAUGGCUUAACCAUGGACCUGCAUUUGAAACUGUGAUUCUUGAGUGAUGGAGAGGCAGGCGGAAUUCCGUGUGUAGCGGUGAAAUGCGUAGAUAUACGGAGGAACACCAGUGGCGAAGGCGGCCUGCUGGACAUUAACUGACGCUGAGGCGCGAAAGCGUGGGGAGCAAACAGG
rnacentral:rRNA from 1 species